rnacentral:rRNA from 1 species
AGAGUUUGAUCCUGGCUCAGGAUGAACGCUGGCGGCGUGCCUAAUACAUGCAAGUCGAGCGAACGGACGAGAAGCUUGCUUCUCUGAUGUUAGCGGCGGACGGGUGAGUAACACGUGGAUAACCUACCUAUAAGACUGGGAUAACUUCGGGAAACCGGAGCUAAUACCGGAUAAUAUUUUGAACCGCAUGGUUCAAAAGUGAAAGACGGUCUUGCUGUCACUUAUAGAUGGAUCCGCGCUGCAUUAGCUAGUUGGUAAGGUAACGGCUUACCAAGGCAACGAUGCAUAGCCGACCUGAGAGGGUGAUCGGCCACACUGGAACUGAGACACGGUCCAGACUCCUACGGGAGGCAGCAGUAGGGAAUCUUCCGCAAUGGGCGAAAGCCUGACGGAGCAACGCCGCGUGAGUGAUGAAGGUCUUCGGAUCGUAAAACUCUGUUAUUAGGGAAGAACAUAUGUGUAAGUAACUGUGCACAUCUUGACGGUACCUAAUCAGAAAGCCACGGCUAACUACGUGCCAGCAGCCGCGGUAAUACGUAGGUGGCAAGCGUUAUCCGGAAUUAUUGGGCGUAAAGCGCGCGUAGGCGGUUUUUUAAGUCUGAUGUGAAAGCCCACGGCUCAACCGUGGAGGGUCAUUGGAAACUGGAAAACUUGAGUGCAGAAGAGGAAAGUGGAAUUCCAUGUGUAGCGGUGAAAUGCGCAGAGAUAUGGAGGAACACCAGUGGCGAAGGCGACUUUCUGGUCUGUAACUGACGCUGAUGUGCGAAAGCGUGGGGAUCAAACAGGAUUAGAUACCCUGGUAGUCCACGCCGUAAACGAUGAGUGCUAAGUGUUAGGGGGUUUCCGCCCCUUAGUGCUGCAGCUAACGCAUUAAGCACUCCGCCUGGGGAGUACGACCGCAAGGUUGAAACUCAAAGGAAUUGACGGGGACCCGCACAAGCGAUGGAGCAUGUGGUUUAAUUCGAAGCAACGCGAAGAACCUUACCAAAUCUUGACAUCCUUUGACAACUCUAGAGAUAGAGCUUUCCCCUUCGGGGGACAAAGUGACAGGUGGUGCAUGGUUGUCGUCAGCUCGUGUCGUGAGAUGUUGGGUUAAGUCCCGCAACGAGCGCAACCCUUAAGCUUAGUUGCCAUCAUUAAGUUGGGCACUCUAAGUUGACUGCCGGUGACAAACCGGAGGAAGGUGGGGAUGACGUCAAAUCAUCAUGCCCCUUAUGAUUUGGGCUACACACGUGCUACAAUGGACAAUACAAAGGGCAGCGAAACCGCGAGGUCAAGCAAAUCCCAUAAAGUUGUUCUCAGUUCGGAUUGUAGUCUGCAACUCGACUACAUGAAGCUGGAAUCGCUAGUAAUCGUAGAUCAGCAUGCUACGGUGAAUACGUUCCCGGGUCUUGUACACACCGCCCGUCACACCACGAGAGUUUGUAACACCCGAAGCCGGUGGAGUAACCUUUUAGGAGCUAGCCGUCGAAGGUGGGACAAAUGAUUGGGGUGAAGUCGUAACAAGGUAGCCGUAUCGGAAGGUGCGGCUGGAUCACCU